ACGGAAGGCAGCAGUGGGGAAUAUUGGACAAUGGGGGAAACCCUGAUCCAGCGACGCCGCGUGAGUGAAGAAGUAUUUCGGUAUGUAAAGCUCUAUCAGCAAGGAAGAAAAUGACGGUACUUGACUAAGAAGCCCCGGCUAACUACGUGCCAGCAGCCGCGGUAAUACGUAGGGGGCAAGCGUUAUCCGGAUUUACUGGGUGUAAAGGGAGCGUAGACGGCAUAGCAAGUCUGAAGUGAAAUGCAUGGGCUCAACCCAUGAACUGCUUUGGAAACUGUUAAGCUAGAGUGCAGGAGAGGUAAGUGGAAUUCCUAGUGUAGCGGUGAAAUGCGUAGAUAUUAGGAGGAACACCAGUGGCGAAGGCGGCUUACUGGACUGUAACUGACGUUGAGGCUCGAAAGCGUGGGGAGCGAACAGGAUUAGAUACCCUGGUA
rnacentral:rRNA from 1 species